rnacentral:tRNA from 1 species
GCCAAGGUAGCUCAGACAGUAAGGGCGUCUAUCUCCUGACUAGAAGGUCCUGGGUUCAAUCCCAGGUAGGGGCA